rnacentral:lncRNA from 1 species
GGUGUUUCUUCCGGAAUCAUUUUCGCUGGUUCCCUGUAAUUAAGCAGGCUUAAGUGAUUUGUCCUGUGUGCUGCUGGGUACAGUGAAGGAAGGUCAGGCAAGUUCUGAAAGUGCGACAUGAUGAGGAUAUUGUCACUUCCCACAGAGAACCCAGUGACGUACAAUGAUGUACUGGUGAGCUUUACUCGGGAAGAAUGGGCUUUGCUGGAUCCUUCCCAGAAGAGUCUCUACAAAGAUGUGAUGCUCGAAACCUAUAAGAACCUCACUGCCAUAGGCUAUAACUGGGAAGAUGACAAUAUUGAAGAAGAUUGUGAAAAUUCUGGAAGACCCAGAAGGCAUCUUCAAAGGGAUGGACCAAGUAAUACUAGAGAGAAACCCUUUGAAUGUAUUCAAUAUGAUGGAGCCUUUGCAAGAAACCAUCAUCAUCAGUUAUAUAAGAGCACUGGAUCUUUCAUGUCUUCUACUGAUCAUCAGAUACAUAGAAGACCACACACUGAAGAAAAAGUCUAUGAUGGUAACCAGUGUC